UAUGAUAGAAGCGUGGCAGGUGUGGCUGCUGUGUCACAUGUGCGUCAGUAGAUGGCAGAGAGGAGAGAGGCUAUGUCAACACUCAGUGUUCUGACCUAUGAACAUCUGAAUGGUCAGUAGCCUAACUCU
ensembl:snoRNA Gm24578 predicted gene, 24578